rnacentral:rRNA from 1 species
GACGAACGCUGGCGGCGUGCCUAAUACAUGCAAGUCGAACGCUUCUUUCCUCCCGAGUGCUUGCACUCAAUUGGAAAGAGGAGUGGCGGACGGGUGAGUAACACGUGGGUAACCUACCCAUCAGAGGGGGAUGACACUUGGAAACAGGUGCUAAUACCGCAUAACAGUUUAUGCCGCAUGGCAUAAGAGUGAAAGGCGCUUUCGGGUGUCGCUGAUGGAUGGACCCGCGGUGCAUUAGCUAGUUGGUGAGGUAACGGCUCACCAAGGCCACGAUGCAUAGCCGACCUGAGAGGGUGAUCGGCCACACUGGGACUGAGACACGGCCCAGACUCCUACGGGAGGCAGCAGUAGGGAAUCUUCGGCAAUGGACGAAAGUCUGACCGAGCAACGCCGCGUGAGUGAAGAGGGUGUUCGGGUCGUAAAACUCUGUUGUUAGAGAAGAACAAGGACGUUAGUAACUGAACGUCCCCUGACGGUAUCUAACCAGAAAGCCACGGCUAACUACGUG